GACGAACGCUGGCGGCGUGCUUAACACAUGCAAGUCGAACGGUGAAGGGGUCUGCUUUUGUGGGCCCUGGAUGGGUGGCGAACGGGUGAGUAACACGUGAGUAACCUGCCCCCUUCUUCUGGAUAACCGCAUGAAAGAGUGGCUAAUACGGGAUAUUCUGGGUCUGUCGCAUGAUGGGUCUGGGAAAGAUUGCGCCUUUGGGUGUUUUUGGUGGGGGAUGGGCUCGCGGCCUAUCAGCUUGUUGGUGGGGUGAUGGCCUACCAAGGCGGUGACGGGUAGCCGGACUGAGAGGGUGGACGGUCACACUGGGACUGAGACACGGCCCAGACUCCUACGGGAGGCAGCAGUGGGGAAUAUUGCACAAUGGUCGCAAGCCUGAUGCAGCGACGCCGCGUGAGGGAUGGAGGCCUUCGGGUUGUAAACCUCUUUCGCCAGUGAAGCAGGCCUGCUCCUUGUGGGUGGGUUGACGGUAGCUGGAUAAGAAGCGCCGGCUAACUACGU
rnacentral:rRNA from 1 species